AACUGCUGAAAAUGUUAAACAAACCAGAGCUCUGGCAGGACCCUGCUAGACGCUUCAUCCAAACAUAUCAUCUUACAACUCUGAUAAAAGGAUCUGCUGGAUUUUCUUUUGGCUGAGAUAAUACAUUUGUAUUCAUUGCAACUGAUGUUAAUUAUGGAUCUGCGUAACUGAUACAAACCUCAAUGACACCUUGAGUAAGUUUUGAGCAAUCACACCUUACUUUGUGUUGCAAUGGCCUGGAAGCAUUGUAUUGCUGUGACUCAGCAGAAGGCAGAGGACCUUUUUGCUCAGAAGUUCCCUCCAUGAAAGUCCUCAUUUCUUAUGGAAGGUCUCAUUAUCCCAGUGGAGAUGGUGUGCCCCAGCCAGCUGCAGGCAGAAGAGAGCAUGCAUGGAUGCUGUUUCUCAGAGAAAUCUGGUAGGAGAGUAUGGAUAGACCUGAAACACUUCAGAGAGCUUGAUCUGUAAAUUCUCAGCCCUGUGAUGUGAAAUGAAUGAUUUCAGAUCUCCAUGCAGACUUCAUGGGUGGACCUUAUUUCAGUAGAUGGAACUGACUUACACCCCAAAUAUAAAAAGCCCUAAUGCCGAGAGGUGCAAGAUCUGCACAGAGAGCCAGACCCCAAAUGUAUGCCAAAAUAACAGACAGAAGGAUUUUCUGGAAAAUGCCUCCAAAAAGGUGGUAAUGUCCCACCGAGACAAACAAGAGCCCAUACAUUGGAGCGAGAUACAGGACAGAGAGACCCCAAAGUUCCACAUCUCCUCAGUCACGAAUGCUGUAUUGCCAGGGCAUGGGCUCUGCCCAUCCUGGUAGGCUCAGAGCUAUGGUGGGUUGUGAAAAUCAAGAGCAAACAGCGAGGAAAGACAAGUCUUGUCAGUCUGGAGAAUGAGUUGGUUGAACCACCAGGCCCCGGAUCUAUGGCAGCGGAAGCAACAUUGGAAUUGUGUCUUGCUGUGAGUUCAGCUUCUUUUCCAGACCCUUUUCCGUUCACAUGAAAGCCCUUCAGACUCAAUGGGGAUUUUGCUCUAACAAUAACAACAGACUUAUUCCCAAAGUCACUGGCAUGGGAAUUUUAUUUAGUAACAGCUUUAUUCUUUGUGAGGUCUCCAAGGAAGGCAAUUGUUUUCUUCUGUCUGAUGUUGGAGAUGGAGAUCUAGGGACAGGUGGUGGAUUUCCUUCUCCUUCUGGUCUUGGUGGUUGAGGGAAAGAUCAAGGCCAUUAUUUUCCUUUCACUCUAGUGUCAGUGCAAAUGCAUCCAGAGCUUACUGAGUACACAGAAAUUAUUAGUUUUCAGUGUUUGUUCAAAUGGAUGCUAUUCAAAACAAUCUGCACCAGCAAAAGCAAAUAAUACCCAGUAUGGAUAUUCUGUAAAACCAAAGGAAAAAGAGUAAUUCCUCUAAUUCACAGAACAUGGUUUUGCACGUUGUCUGAAAGCUAUUAUAAUUUUACAGUUAUUUACGCAUAAUAAAUCUAGAGUUGGAAGAGAAACUCAAGGCCAGCGAGGUAUUUGCCAUCAGACUAGCGUGCACAGCAGCUCAAGGCAGUUGCUCAGAGCUGUUCACAUUCCCCUUGUGCUGCACUGCACUGGUGCGAUGCCAGCAAGAGCACCUUUCCCUCAGAUGUUGGAGGAGUGGGGAGGAACAAGGAACAAGUAGCACGUCUGCCAGCACUAAAGAGGUAAACCGACACCGGAACUCAGCCUUUCUGUAAAAUAACUCUUGCUAAUAUCAUCAUGUGUUACAGAGAUUGAAAAUCAGAUUAAGGUAAUUGAGAGUAGUCAGGCAGCAUAGCAGUGUGUGCAAAGAGUUUAGUAAAAAAAAAAGUUGUAAGGAAAAUAUGGCUGUUAGGGUUUGGUUUGCCUUUCCAUUAGAAAGGAAAAAUGAAACUAAAAGGUGGUUUUAUGCUAUACUCUCCUGUGGGUGUAAGUAUACAGGAAACGACCCAGCUGAUUAGGCCAGAUGGCAAGGAUGAAAACCGGUGUGCAGACACUGCACAGCAAAAACUGGAAUUAUGAAAAUGGUGAUGCUGUAUUUUGCCACAUAACACGCGUCCUUCUCGGCUGGACCCCAGGCACCUUGUGCCAGUUACCGUGACGCUGACGAGAUGCCAGCACCCCAUGCAAGCCAAAAGCCAUGGGGCAGGCAUGGGUGCGAUGGUUCCUGGGAUGGGCAGUCACUCAGGCCUGAUCAUGCAGGGGGAGGCGCAGAGCCCAGGAGGUGGCUGGUGAUGCUCUGCCAGCCAGUUCUGGGCUCUGGGAUGGUCACACAAGGAAAAUGCCUGUGCUACCUCCUGCGGGCGGUGUCUGAGGGUUUGGCUGGGUUUCAGUGGCGAGGCACUGACAUUUGCUGGAAAAUAUGCUUCUUAAUGUGAGACGUUCUCCUGAACUUUCUCCUGGCUUAAGAUUUCUGCUGCUUCCAGAAACACUGUUUCUGCCUCAAAAAGGCCUAGCAAAUGCUUUGUGAAUAGCUCAGAUGACAAAAUAUCAUCAUUGUUUUCUUUCCCUUCAGUAUUGGGCCCUAUCAUGUGAGGAACUCUGCCAGCAUAGAGGUAGGCAGCAUCCUUCCCUUGCAAUUUGGUUACAAAAAUUGGUAUCUAAUUAUGUGGGCCCGGCGUGCCCCGUCAGUCUCCGAUUUGGCCAAGCUCCCGAUGGAUGCCUGCCCUAGGUUGGCUGCUCCCACGCGCCCGCCAGUGUGGGUGGAUAAAUGACUCAGAUAAAAUUUGACUGACUGGUAGAAACCUGGUCUGGGGGUAAUUCAAGACAGGGACUUGGGGGAGUCUGUUGUGUUAUCAAACCUGGGCAGAUGUGGCAAACAGCUUUGUGAGAGUGCUCUUUCACCAGCUUGCUAAUAUCCUGGCCAGAAUUCAGUACUCACUGAUCUCAUAGUUUGUUACCUGAGAUUAAUCUUUAUUUUGGAAAAAGUCUGUGAAAAAGAAGGUAUCUCUUUCUAGCGCUGUAUAGGAAAAAAAUAAUUUAACCUCAGAAGCUAGAUCCUCUACUGGCAGAUGUCAGCAUGAGUCCAUUGUCCUAAAUCAUUAUUAUUAUGACCUGGUAUGUCUGAGAUAUGAAACAAGAUUUUGUUGUUAAAUGGAAAAUGUUGAAGUCAGUGGCAGAAGUCUUGUUGGAAAAAAAAAAAAAAGUCACAACAAAAAAACCCAAAACACAUGUUCCAAUUUACAGGUCAGUUGAUAUCCUCCCCCGAGGCUGCCUUAAUUUCUAGUUUGGGCAUGUCAAUAAAUCAAUGCCACAAGCCAUCAGUGAGGCAGUAUCCAGCAAAGCAGCUGCCAUAUGAACACCAUGCUCAGAAUCCAAGCAUGUAUAUAGCCAAAAAUCUCUCAGUACGUUUUCUUACUUCAUUAGUUUCUGUUUUGCAUAAAAAUAGCUGUCAUUUCUGCAAUGAAUAAUCAUGUCUGCCUUGAGAUAGAUAUGUCUACGUGAUAAGUUUGUUAAAUAAUAAUGAGAGGAAAUAAGUUCCUGUGUGGAACCUUUAAUGCAAUUCUGUUAUGGUACUUUUUCUUGUUAAUAGAUGUCCUUUAAGCGCUAUUUUUUGUGCGUGUUAUACGUAGGUGAAGAAGCAGUUGAUAAAACAAUAACAUCAUUAAAAAAAAAAAAAAAGUGAUGACUUUAUGCUUACACAUCCCAGGAUAAUAUCACAGCUAUGAUUAAUAGAGGGUUGUAACACAAAUAAGACUCUAUGGAGACUUUCUGCCUCAUGCUGUGUACAUUUUUCACUGCUGUGCAGUGGCUAUAAAAUGCUCUCUUAUGGGAUCCUUACGGUUUGAUUUUCCUCUACUUUGUGUUAUGAGAUGAAUGCACUUGAGCAGGUGAAUUCAAGUCAUUACCAUGUCUGGACUCCUGCUGUCCAUUCAAUCUGCAGCGUUGCAAAUAACUGCACGAUCUGCAAGGCCAGGAGAGUUGUGACUUGGUUAUGCUGGAAAGAAGGGAGCUGGGAAAGGAUGUUCUCCCAGUGCACCCCAAAGUGCACCCUGAAACCUUGCUCCAAGAAGAUAAAAAUGUCAGGAAGACAGGAAGAUGGGUGACAAAAGCAUCAGAAUUUCUUCAGCCUUCAAAGACCAGCACAAUACCUUCUCAGAUCUCUGAAAACAUCUGUAACUUUUGAAAUCUGAAGUGGUCAGGAUCAAAAAAGGUAUUAUGGGUACUGACUGCCUGAAACCUAUCAUGCUGGACACUUCCUGCAAAGGUUAAAUUAAACAAGUAGUUCCCGGAGCAGAGGAACUAACACCACCCGGUUUCCUCCAACCUGUCUCACAAGAUCUCUUCCUCCUCUGGAUUCUCUGUCUCAGACAGAAAAAGCACAUGGUAAGGCUUGUAUGUUAGGGGAGACAUAAAGAACAACAAAUGAUUUCUCUUCCUGGUCACCGAGGUGCAAAAAAUAAAUCUCGAGGUAUUGGAGACUGCGACCCUCCCUGUCAAAUCUGGCUGAGACGAGUAAUGAGAGUUACCAGUGGGGAACAGAAACAGACAAACGCAGCAUGACUGUAUAGACAUUGUUUCCUUAGGAAACUGGGCUCAAAACAAAGCGCACAAAUCUGGUAUAUUUAUAGUGAAAGAGGUGGGGGGCUUUCCUUUCCAGAGGAAAUGGACUGCUUUCCUGGGCCUGAUCCUCACAUUACUGGAAACUACUUCAGUUCACACUGACUGCAGAUCCUGUCCUGCUCUUCCCGAUCCAGGAACCUGUGUAAGUUCUGGAAGAAGUCAGCAGUGCCUGUAGCACUACCAGAAGAUACCUCAGGUGCUCCACAGUAACGUUUAUUUCUGUAUUAAUACUAUGCCUAAAGUAUGUAUAGGAUAUUUAUGAUGUAUCCAAGAGUCAGUCAACUGAGCUGAAAAUCAGGGAAAGAGAAAGGAUCAUACUGAAGACAAGUUACCUCAGCUCCAGCUCUAUCCCAUGCUACAACUUAGCAGACAGACUACACUGCCAAGUACAAAUUCGUACCUUUUUGGUGGCAUGGUGGUAGCUUCCUGCAAGAGUUUUUGGUUCUCCUAGGCGGGAGGAAAUGUAGGAAGAGGAGGGCAAGAUUGAGGCAAAUUCAACCCAAAGUCCCUCUGAGAAAGCAGAGACCAGGCAGACUGUUUCUCCUCUCAGAUGUGAAGUUUCCUCCCCAGGGGGAAAGAAGAAUUGGGCGAGCUAAAAGAGGCAGUAUUGUUAAGCAAGGUAAAACACUUGGAAAUCUAGAAUUUUUCUGCUCUACCACAAACUUUCCAAUCUCUACGUACCGCAGAUGCAGCCCAACCUCUCAGGAAGCCAAGACGUAGAUACUGGGAUACUGAACACCAAAGACACCUAUUAAAUCUAGUCCCUGACAAUGCAACAUUGUUCCCAAUUUUAAAUUUGUUGGAGUUCCUUUGUAUUUUGGGUUCUUGUUUUUAGAAUUGGCUGUGGACAGGUUUUCUGCUUUGUACUCAAAAUACCCAAACUGGGCUUAAGUUACUAGUUAAACAUUAUGAAGUGUCUUUUAAAGACCUGUAAAGUACAGAGUUACUUGUUAUAUAGCUAGGCUUUUGUUAUUUGGCCUUUCAUCCAGAAGUUUUUGAAAAGCCAAGAACAAAAUGUCUUUCCUCAUUGAUACCCUGAUCUUAUGUCUACUGAUCACAAAUGCAGAUUAGAGUAAAACUCUCUGCUCUAGCUGGUACUGGGUGUUUCUUGACAGUCCCCUAUAGCCAAAUACCUAAUAGCCUUUUUUUUUUCUUUUUUCCUUCUUUUUCCAGGAGGUGAUUCCAAGAGUAAAACAAAGCAUAGUUUUCAGAGAUAUUUCUGAUUUGCCAGCCUGAUUCCUCUAUUACUCCUCCAUGAAUUCUCACAGCCAUACUUUUCUGGCCCUUGUGUAGGGCUGUAUGUGAGAUAAUCUUACCUGAUCAUUUCAGUUAAUUCUAAAAUGAUCCUGAAGCAAGUUUUACCAUAAAACAAAACAAAAGAAUUUCUCACAGUGUGCUCUUGCAUCUUUGCGCUGACUCAAAUAGCAUGUGCAGGCCUGUCUCUGUGUUUAAAGGUAGCCAAUACUGUCCAAUCACAGUUUUGUGCCCAGAACCAAUACACCUCCUUAACAAUAAUUUCUGAAAUUUUCUCCACGAGUCUUGUCCAGUAUUUGCUGACUUGAGCCAUCAUCAGCACAAAUGUAUUGUGGUGUUCAGUGAAUGUCUAAGGUGUUAACCCAUCACGGGCUCACUAUACAUAGCAGCAGACUACAGCAGAGGAGCUCUUUGUGGUUGUGAGCAAAAGUUAAUAGAAGGUGUAUCUUCCUCUUCCUUUGGUACUCAUUGUUCUUCCUGACACCGACUUUUUGUUGCUUUUCAUUAGGAUCCAUUUAAGAAUUAGCAGCCUGAUCGCCUUUCUUCGUAUAAUGUCACGUACGUUAUGGCUCAGUGGUGAGGCAUGCUGUCUUUCAACAGAAGUGCUAGCACAUUCUGGGAAUGGUGUCAUGGAGCUAAUUGGACAACUUGCUUUCAGUUGUACUGGAUUUUUUAAAGUCAGGUCUGAACACAUCUCAGUACAACUCUAUAAUCAGGAUUAAAAGCAAAGGCCUCAUCCUUUUCUGGCUUCUACUGGACUAAGUGAAGACAGCAUUUGGAGUCAGUGUAGCUGUAUGAGUGCAAGUGGAUUGUAAGACUCAGUACUUUGAGAUUUGUAUCAAAGGUGUUUUUAAUAGCCUGCAGUUUUCUUGGCAUGAACUGCUUUCAUGACUCAAGACAUACAUGGUGGGCUGAAUUUAUGCUGUGUGCAGGUUUCAUUCAGGUGGGAUUUAAUGCGAAACUUGUAAAUGUUCACAUGCGUAUGCACUGGCCUAUGCUGUGUAACUGCCACCAGAGCCACAUACAGGAAUUUCUCUGAAUCAAGGUGCUAUCUGGGAGUAUUAGUGUUGGCAAGGCCAAAUACAGAAGCCUUGUACAGUCACUUGUGCAACACAUGGCUGGAAACAUGCCCUCCACAGUACAUCCAGCCUCUCCCAUUAAAUCCAUGCCUGAGUGAGGAUGUGAUGUACUGCAGUGACCAUUAGUGCAGACACGUGUGUGUAUCUGUACUCAGACUGUGAGUGGGAAUAACAACAUGUAGACGAUAAAGAUGAAGUUUCAUUCACAGACAAUGGAUUUGGAGUCCUUCAAUAAAACAGAACACCGUGGAUAAAAA